UACAUGGGGUGCAAACGUUGCUCGGAAUCAUUGGGCGUAAAGCGCGCGUAGGCGGUUACUUAAGUCGGAUGUGAAAGCCCUCGGCUUAACCGAGGAAGUGCAUCCGAAACUGAGUAGCUAGAGUACGAAAGAGGGUCGCGGAAUUCCCGGUGUAGAGGUGAAAUUCGUAGAUAUCGGGAGGAACACCGGUGGCGAAGGCGGCGACCUGGGUCGAGACUGACGCUGAGGCGCGAAAGCGUGGGGAGCAAACAGG
rnacentral:rRNA from 1 species